GAUGAACGCUGGCGGCGUGCCUAAUACAUGCAAGUCGAGCGAAUGGAUUAAGAGCUUGCUCUUAUGAAGUUAGCGGCGGACGGGUGAGUAACACGUGGGUAACCUGCCCAUAAGACUGGGAUAACUCCGGGAAACCGGGGCUAAUACCGGAUAACAUUUUGAACCGCAUGGUUCGAAAUUGAAAGGCGGCUUCGGCUGUCACUUAUGGAUGGACCCGCGUCGCAUUAGCUAGUUGGGGAGGUAACGGCUCACCAAGGCAACGAUCCGUAGCCGACCUGAGAGGGUGAUCGGCCACACUGGGACUGCGACACGGCCCAGACUCCUACGGGAGGCAGCAGUAGGGAAUCUUCCGCAAUGGACGAAAGUCUGACGGAGCAACUCCGCGUGAGUGAUGAAGGCUUUCGGGUCGUAAAACUCUGUUGUUAGGGAAGAACAAGUGCUAGUUGAAUAAGCUGGCACCUUGACGGUACCUAACCAGAAAGCCACGGCUAACUACGUGCCAGCCGCCGCGGUAA
rnacentral:rRNA from 1 species